CGAGGCGUAAUAAAUUAUUGGGUUGUGGAAAUGGAAUCCCAGAACGCAUCACUCCGGUCGAGAAUCAAAACCUCAAACACAAACCUUAAACAAAAUGUAAAGAAUUUAUUAAGGAAUAACAAGUGAAAUAAAGAGCAAAUCUUCAGGAUGUCCAAAAGGCCAAAAUAACAAACAAAACGAAUAUAAAAGAAAAGAGGGGAAAUUAAUAACCUCCAAUAUCAAAAGAAAAUACAUUGAUUUUACCUAA